AUGAAAAGACGAGGAAUGACGGCUCGUUUGAGUUACUAUCUCAACAAACAAAUGUUUUUACCUCGAAAUAGUGAGCUUAGUUCCGCCAAUGGUUUCCUGAAACAAAGACCGAUAAGUCAAGCUGAGCUUUCGCAGAAGUUGAAGGACGAACUUGGCUACACUCUCAAUGUUAAACCCUUCUCAAUCUCCCACACCGAGCAGCUCCAUUUCCGCUCUCCACCUGUCCCUGUUCUACCCACGCGCGAUAACCCCAUCUAA